rnacentral:lncRNA from 1 species
CCUCUUUCUUCUCCUUUUUCCUCUUCCUUCCUUUCAUUUUCCUCUUUUUCACUUCUUGUCCCCUUCUUCGGGCUAAAUUGGCUAAGAAUGCCUUUUUGGAGCUAAUUAUGUCAUUUCAAAGAUAAUUAGCUAAGUAUAGGUCAUUUUUUAUUAAAUAGGCCAUUUUGGAGCUAACUAAGUAAUUAUGUCAUUUCGUAGGAUAAUUAGCCAAUUUAGACUUUGUUGGAUAAUUCUAAGCUACGUAGAAGAAGAGAUAGAGAAGAAGAAGUAAAAUAAGGAGGAGGAGGAGGAGGACAAGA